UACGUAGGGGGCAAGCGUUGUCCGGAUUUAUUGGGCGUAAAGAGCGUGUAGGCGGCCAGGUAGGUCGGUUGUGAAAACUGGAGGCUCAACCUUCAGAGGUCGACCGAAACCAUCUGGCUAGAGUCCGGGAGAGGAGAGUGGAAUUCCUGGUGUAGCGGUGAAAUGCGCAGAUAUCAGGAAGAACACCCGUGGCGAAAGCGGCUCUCUGGAACGGUACUGACGCUGAGACGCGAAAGCGUGGGGAGCGAAACAGGAUUAAG
rnacentral:rRNA from 1 species